GGUGUCUUGGCUAAGGUGUCUUGGCUAAGGUGUCUUGGCUAAGGUGUCUUGGCUAAUGUGUCUUGGCUAAGCAGUCUUGGCUAAGGUGUCUUGGCUGAGGUGUCUUGGCUAAGGUGUCUUGGUUAAGGUGUCUUGGCUAAUGUGUCUUGGCUAAGGUGUCUUGGCUAAUGUGUCUUGGCUAAUGUGUCUUGGCUAAUGUGUCUUGGCUAAUGUGUCUUGGCUAAUGUGUCUUGGCUAAUGUGUCUCGGCUAAUGUAUCUCGGCUAAUGUGUCUUGGCUAAUGUGUCUUGGCUAAUGUGUCUUGGCUAAUGUGUCUUGGCUAAGGUGUCUUGGCUAAUGUGUCUCGGCUAAUGUAUCUCGGCUAAUGUGUCUUGGCUAAUGUGUCUUGGCUAAUGUGUCUUGGCUAAUGUGUCUUGGCUAAGGUGUCUUGGCUAAUGUGUCUUGGCUAAUGUAUCUUGGCUAAUGUGUCUUGGCUAUUGUGUCUUGGCUAAUGUGUCUCGGCUAAUGUGUCUCGGCUAAUGUGUCUUGGCUAAUGUGUCUUGGCUAAUGUGUCUUGGCUAAUGUGUCUUGGCUAAGGUGUCUUGGCUAAGGUGUCUUGGCUAAAGUGUCUUGGCUAAGGUGUCUUGGCUAAGGUGUCUUGGCUAAUGUGUCUUGGCUAAUGUGUCUUGGCUAAGGUGUCUUGGCUAAUGUGUCUUGGCUAAUGUGUCUUGGCUAAGGUGUCUUGGCUAAUGUGUCUUGGCUAAUGUAUCUUGGCUAAUGUGUCUUGGCUAUUGUGUCUUGGCUAAUGUGUCUCGGCUAAUGUGUCUCGGCUAAUGUGUCUUGGCUAAUGUGUCUUGGCUAAUGUGUCUUGGCUAAUGUGUCUUGGCUAAUGUGUCUUGGCUAAGGUGUCUUGGCUGAGGUGUCUUGGCUAAGGUGUCUUGGCUAAGGUGUCUUGGCUAAGGUGUCUUGGCUAAUGUGUCUUGGCUAAUGUGUCUUGGCUAAGGUGUCUUGGCUGAGGUGUCUUGGCUAAGGUGUCUUGGCUAAGGUGUCUUGGCUAAUGUGUCUUGGCUAAUGUGUCUUGGCUAAGCAGUCUUGGCUAAGGUGUCUUGGCUGAGGUGUCUUGGCUAAGGUGUCUUGGUUAAGGUGUCUUGGCUAAUGUGUCUUGGCUAAGGUGUCUUGGCUAAUGUGUCUUGGCUAAUGUGUCUUGGCUAAUGUGUCUUGGCUAAUGUGUCUUGGCUAAUGUGUCUUGGCUAAUGUGUCUCGGCUAAUGUAUCUCGGCUAAUGUGUCUUGGCUAAUGUGUCUUGGCUAAUGUGUCUUGGCUAAUGUGUCUUGGCUAAGGUGUCUUGGCUAAUGUGUCUCGGCUAAUGUAUCUCGGCUAAUGUGUCUUGGCUAAUGUGUCUUGGCUAAUGUGUCUUGGCUAAUGUGUCUUGGCUAAGGUGUCUUGGCUAAUGUGUCUUGGCUAAUGUAUCUUGGCUAAUGUGUCUUGGCUAUUGUGUCUUGGCUAAUGUGUCUCGGCUAAUGUGUCUCGGCUAAUGUGUCUUGGCUAAUGUGUCUUGGCUAAUGUGUCUUGGCUAAUGUGUCUUGGCUAAGGUGUCUUGGCUAAGGUGUCUUGGCUAAGGUGUCUUGGCUAAUGUGUCUUGGCUAAUGUGUCUCGGCUAAGGUGUCUUGGCUAAUGUGUCUUGGCUAAGGUGUCUUGGCUAAUGUGUCUUGGCUAAGGUGUCUUGGCUAAGGUGUCUUGGCUAAGGUGUCUUGGCUAAGGUGUCUUGGCUAAGGUGUCUUGGCUAAUGUGUCUUGGCUAAUGUGUCUUGGCUAAUGUGUCUUGGCUAAUGUGUCUCGGCUAAUGUAUCUCGGCUAAUGUGUCUUGGCUAAUGUGUCUUGGCUAAGGUGUCUUGGCUAAGGUGUCUUGGCUGAGGUGUCUUGGCUAAGGUGUCUUGGCUAAGGUGUCUUGGCUAAUGUGUCUUGGCUAAGGUGUCUUGGCUAAUGUGUCUUGGCUAAGGUGUCUUGGCUAAGGUGUCCUGGCUAAGGUGUCUUGGCUAAGGUGUCUUGGCUAAUGUGUCUUGGCUAAUGUGUUUUGGCUAAUGUGUCUCGGCUAAUGUGUCUUGGCUAAUGUGUCUUGGCUAAUGUGUCUUGGCUAAUGUGUCUUGGCUAAGGUGUCUUGGCUAAUGUGUCUUGGCUAAGGUGUCUUGGCUAAUGUGUCUUGGCUAAUGUGUCUUGGCUAAUGUGUCUUGGCUAAGGUGUCUUGGCUGAGGUGUCUUGGCUAAGGUGUCUUGGCUAAGGUGUCUUGGCUAAUGUGUCUUGGCUAAGGUGUCUUGGCUAAUGUGUCUUGGCUAAGGUGUUUUGGCUAAGGUGUCCUGGCUAAGGUGUCUUGGCUAAGGUGUCUUGGCUAAUGUGUCUUGGCUAAUGUGUCUUGGCUAAUGUGUUUUGGCUAAUGUGUCUCGGCUAAUGUAUCUCGGCUAAUGUGUCUUGGCUAAUGUGUCUUGGCUAAUGUGUCUUGGCUAAGGUGUCUUGGCUAAGGUGUCUUGGCUAAGGUGUCUUGGCUAAUGUGUCUUGGAUAAUGUGUCUUGGCUAAGGUGUCUUGGCUAAUGUGUCUUGGCUAAUGUGUCUUGGCUAAUGUGUCUCGGCUAAUGUGUCUCGGCUAAUGUAUCUCGGCUAAUGUGUCUCGGCUAAUGUGUCUUGGCUAAUGUGUCUUGGAUAAUGUGUCUUGGCUAAUGUGUCUUGGCUAAGGUGUCUUGGCAAAAGUGUCUUGGCUAUGGUGUCUUGGCUAAUGUAUCUUGGCUUAGGUGUCCUGGCUAAGGUGUCUUGGCUGAGGUGUCUUGGCUAAGGUGUCUUGGCUAAGGUGUCUUGGCUAAUGUGUCUUGGCUAAGGUGUCUUGGCUAAUGUGUCUUGGCUAAGGUGUCUUGGCUUAGGUGUCUUGGCUGAGGUGUCUUGGCUAAGGUGUCUUGGUUAAGGUGUCUUGGCUAAUGUGUCUUGGCUAAGGUGUCUUGGCUAAUGUGUCUUGGCUAAUGUGUCUUGGCUAAUGUGUUUUGGCUAAUGUGUCUCGGCUAAUGUGUCUUGGCUAAUGUGUCUUGGCUAAGGUGUCUUGGCUAAUGUGUCUUGGCUAAUGUGUCUUGGCUAAGGUGUCUUGGCUAAUGUGUCUUGACUAAUGUGUCUUGGCUAAUGUGUCUUGGCUAAUGUGUCUUGGUUAAUGUGUCUUGGCUAAUGUGUCUUGGCGAAUGUGUCUUGGCUAAUGUGUCUUGGCUAAUGUGUCUCGGCAAAUGUGUCUUGGCUAAUGUGUCUUGGCUAAUGUGUCUUGGCUAAUGUGUCUUGGCUUAUGUGUCUCGGCUAAGGUGUCUUGGCUAAUGUGUCUUGGCUAAGGUGUUUUGGCUAAUGUGUCUUGGCUAAGGUGUCUUGGCUAAUGUGUCUCGGCUAAGGUGUCUUGGCUAAGGUGUCUUGGCUAAUGUGUCUUGGCUAAUGUGUCUUUUCUAAUGUGUCUUGCCUGAGGUGUCUUGGCUAAUGUGUCUUGGCAAAUGUGUCUUGGCGAACGUGUCUUGGCUAAUGUGUCUUGGCUAAGGUGUCUUGGCUAAGGUGUCUUGGCUAAUGUGUCUUGGCUAUGGUGUCUUGGCUAAUGUGUCUUGGCUAAGGUGUCUUGGCUAAUGUGUCUUGCCUAAUGUGUCUUGGCUAAUGUGUCUUGGCUUAGAUGUCUUGGCUAAUGUGUCUUGGCUAAUGUGUCUUGGCUAAGGUGUCUUGGCUAAGGUGUUUUGGCUAAUGUGUCUUGGCUAAGGUGUUUUGGCUAAUGUGUCUUGGCUAAGGUGUCUUGGCUAAUGUGUCUUGGCUAAUGUGUCUUGGCUAAUGUGUCUUUUCUAAUGUGUCUUGCCUGAGGUGUCUUGGCUAAUGUGUCUUGGCAAAUGUGUCUUGGCGAACGUGUCUUGGCUAAUGUGUCUUGGCUAAGGUGUCUUGGCUAAGGUGUCUUGGAUAAUGUGUCUUGGCUAUGGUGUCUUGGCUAAUGUGUCUUGGCUAAGGUGUCUUGGCUAAUGUGUCUUGGCUAAUGUGUCUUGGCUAAGGUGUCUUGGAUAAUGUGUCUUGGCUAAGGUGUCUUGGCUAAUGUGUCUUGGCUAAUGUGUCUCGGCUAAUGUGUCUUGGCUAAUGUGUCUUGGCUAAUGUGUCUUGGCUAAUGUGUCUUGGCUAAUGUGUCUUGGCUAAUGUGUCUUGGCUUAUGUGUCUUGGCUAAUGUGUCUUGGCUAAGGUGUCUUGGCUAAGGUGUCUUGGCUAAGGUGUCUUGGCUAAGGUGUCUUGG